rnacentral:misc_RNA from 1 species
AACGCACCUUGCGCUCCUUGGUAUUCCGAGGAGCAUGCCUGUUUGAGUGUCUUGAAGUCAUCAACCCCUACCGUUUCGUGCGGUUUGCGUGUUGGAUCUGGGGGCUUGCUGCCGAGAGGUGGCUCCCCUAAAAUGCAUCGGUUGGGCCUGUGGGUCGUACUCGGUCGGGCGUUGUAUUAUCCUCGCUUUAACGAGAUGUUCCCCUCCUUGCGCCCCUCCACGACCUGCCUUAUGAGUGGCGGUCAAGCAAAAACUUUGAAAUUCUGACCUCAAAUCAGGUAGGACUACCCGCUGAACUUAA